rnacentral:tRNA from 3 species
CCGAGCGUAGGCAUCGACGUCCCGAACCUUGCCAAGGUCGGGGUCGAGGGUUCGAAUCCCUUCGCCCGCUCCA